UGGGGAAUAUUGGACAAUGGGCGCAAGCCUGAUCCAGCCAUGCCGCGUGGAUGAUGAAGGCCCUAGGGUUGUAAAGUCCUUUCGACGGGGAAGAUAAUGACGGUACCCGUAGAAGAAGCCCCGGCUAACUUCGUGCCAGCAGCCGCGGUAAUACGAAGGGGGCUAGCGUUGCUCGGAAUCACUGGGCGUAAAGCGCACGUAGGCGGACUCUUAAGUCGGUGGUGAAAUCCUGGAGCUCAACUCCAGAACUGCCUUCGAUACUGAGAGUCUCGAGUCCGAGAGAGGUGAGUGGAACUGCGAGUGUAGAGGUGAAAUUCGUAGAUAUUCGCAAGAACACCAGUGGCGAAGGCGGCUCACUGGCUCGGUACUGACGCUGAGGUGCGAAAGCGUGGGGAGCAAACAGGAUUAGAUACCCCGGUAGUCCCUGAGCGGGCUGGCAAGGCGCAU
rnacentral:rRNA from 1 species